rnacentral:rRNA from 1 species
CCUACGGGUGGCAGCAGUGAGGAAUAUUGGUCAAUGGACGAGAGUCUGAACCAGCCAAGUAGCGUGAAGGAUGACUGCCCUAUGGGUUGUAAACUUCUUUUAUAAAGGAAUAAAACGAGGCACGUGUGCCUUUUUGCAUGUACUUUAUGAAUAAGGAUCGGCUAACUCCGUGCCAGCAGCCGCGGUAAUACGGAGGAUCCGAGCGUUAUCCGGAUUUAUUGGGUUUAAAGGGAGCGUAGAUGGGUUGUUAAGUCAGUUGUGAAAGUUUGCGGCUCAACCGUAAAAUUGCAAUUGAUACUGGCAGUCGUGAGUACAGUUGAGGUAGGCGGAAUUCGUGGUGUAGCGGUGAAAUGCUUAGAUAUCACGAAGAACCCCGAUUGCGAAGGCAGCUUACUAAACUGUGACUGACAUUGAUGCACGAAAGUGUGGGUAUCAAACAGGAUUAGAUACCCUAGUAGUC